CAGGCCUAACACAUGCAAGUCGAACGAUGCUUUCGGGCAUAGUGGCGCACGGGUGCGUAACGCGUGGGAAUCUGCCCUUGGGUUCGGAAUAACAGUGGGAAACUACUGCUAAUACCGGAUGAUGACGUUAAGUCCAAAGAUUUAUCGCCCAGGGAUGAGCCCGCGUAGGAUUAGCUAGUUGGCGGGGUAAGGGCCCACCAAGGCGAUGAUCAGUAGGGGUUCUGAGAGGAUUGGCCCCCACAUGGGUACUGAGAUACGGACCCAACUCCUACGGGAGGCAGCAGUAGGGAAUAUUGGGCAAUGGGCGGGAGCCUGACCCAGCCAUGCCGCGUGAAGGAUGAAGGCGCUCAGCGUUGUAAACUUCUUUUGACUGGGAAGAACGGCAGGCCUGCGGG
rnacentral:rRNA from 1 species